UACGAAGGGGGCUAGCGUUGUUCGGAAUUACUGGGCGUAAAGCGCACGUAGGCGGCUUUGUAAGUUAGAGGUGAAAGCCCAGGGCUUAACCCUGGAAUUGCCUUUAAGACUGCAUCGCUAGAAUCGUGGAGAGGUGAGUGGAAUUCCGAGUGUAGAGGUGAAAUUCGUAGAUAUUCGGAAGAACACCAGUGGCGAAGGCGACUCACUGGACACGUAUUGACGCUGAGGUGGCGAAAGCGUGGGGAGCAAACAGG
rnacentral:rRNA from 1 species